GUUUCCAUAGAAUAUUAAGUUCUCCAAUUUUUCACAUUGGAAGUACCGGUUAGGUUGGAAGUU
rnacentral:tRNA from 1 species